AUAUUUACCUGGCAGGGGAGAUACCAUGAUCUCAAAUGUGGUUUUUCCUGAGCAAGGCUAAUCAAUUGCACUAUGAAUGUGCUGACCCCUGCAAUUUCCCUAAAUGCAAGAAAUUUGAUAGCAUAUUUUGUGGUAGUGUGGGACUGUGUUUGUACUUUUCUUGU